GGGCUUGUGGUUUAGUGGUAUAAUACUCCCUUAGCACGUGAUCUACGAUGAUGAUCAUCUAUCCGAUGUUUGUUCUUGAGGUCUGUCUAACUUGGGAGUGGUCCGGGGUUCGAUUCCCCGCGAGUCCA